rnacentral:rRNA from 1 species
AUUGAACGCUGGCGGCAGGCCUAACACAUGCAAGUCGAGCGCGAAAGUCUUCGGAUGAGUAAAGCGGCGAACGGGUGAGUAAUGCAUGGGAAUCUGCCUGGUAGUGGGGGACAACGUCUCGAAAGGGACGCUAAUACCGCAUACGCCCUACGGGGGAAAGGGGGGGAGUCUUCGGACCUCUCGCUAUCAGAUGAGCCCAUGUCAGAUUAGCUAGUUGGUGAGGUAAAGGCUCACCAAGGCGACGAUCUGUAACUGGUCUGAGAGGAUGAUCAGUCACACUGGAACUGAGACACGGUCCAGACUCCUACGGGAGGCAGCAGUGGGGAAUAUUGGACAAUGGGGGCAACCCUCGAUCCAGCCAUGCCGCGUGUGUGAAGAAGGCCCUAGGGUUGUAAAGCAC